rnacentral:misc_RNA from 1 species
GAUGAAGAACGUAGCGAAUUGCGAUAAGAAAUGUGAAUUGCAGAUACUCGUGAAUCAUUGAAUUUUUGAACGCACAUUGCGCCCUUGAGCAUUCUCAGGGGCAUGCCUGUUUGAGCGUCAUUUCCUUCUCAAAAGAUAAUUUAUUAUUUUUUGGUUGUGGGCGAUACUCAGGGUUAGCUUGAAAUUGGAGACUGUUUCAGUCUUUUUUAAUUCAACACUUAGCUUCUUUGGAGACGCUGUUCUCGCUGUGAUGUAUUUAUGGAUUUAUUCGUUUUACUUUACAAGGGAAAUGGUAACGUACCUUAGGCAAAGGGUUGCUUUUAAUAUUCAUCAAGUUUGACCUCAAAUCAGGUAGGAUUACCCGCUGAACUUAAGCAUAUCAAUAAGCGGAGGA